UUAGGAAUAUUGGACAAUGGGCGCAAGCCUGAUCCAGCCAUGCCGCGUGAAUGAUGAAGGCCUUAGGGUUGUAAAGUUCUUUUAGAGGUGAAGAUAAUGACGGUAGCCUCAGAAAAAGCUCCGGCUAACUCCGUGCCAGCAGCCGCGGUAAUACGGAGGGAGCGAGCGUUGUUCGGAAUCAUUGGGCGUAAAGAGUGCGUAGGCGGUUUCGCAAGUCAGAAGUGAAAUCCCCGGGCUUAACCCGGGAACUGCUUUUGAUACUGCGAUUCUCGAGUAUGGGAGAGGUUGGCGGAAUUCCGAGUGUAGAGGUGAAAUUCGUAGAUAUUCGGAAGAACACCAGUGGCGUAGGCGGCCAACUGGACCAUUACUGACGCUGAGGCACGAAAGCGUGGGGAGCAAA
rnacentral:rRNA from 1 species